rnacentral:rRNA from 1 species
AACGAACGCUGGCGGCAUGCCUAACACAUGCAAGUCGAACGGAGGCUUCGGCCUUAGUGGCGCACGGGUGCGUAACGCGUGGGAAUCUGCCCUUUGGCUCGGAAUAACAGCUGGAAACGGCUGCUAAUACCGGAUGAUGACGAAAGUUCAAAGAUUUAUCGCCAGAGGAUGAGCCCGCGUUGGAUUAGGUAGUUGGUGGGGUAAAGGCCUACCAAGCCGACGAUCCAUAGCUGGUCUGAGAGGAUGAUCAGCCACACUGGGACUGAGACACGGCCCAGACUCCUACGGGAGGCAGCAGUGGGGAAUAUUGGACAAUGGGCGCAAGGCUGAACCAGCAAGGCCGCGUGAGUGAUGAAGGCCCCAGGGUUGUAAAGCUCUUUUACCCGGGAAGAUAAUGACUGUACCGGGAGAAUAAGCCCCGGCUAACUCCGUG